UACGCAGGGGGCUAGCGUUGCUCGGAAUCACUGGGCGUAAAGGGAGCGUAGGCGGCCUUGUAAGUCAGUGGUGAAAUCUUCCCGCUUAACGGGAAAACUGCCAUUGAUACUGCAGGGCUUGAGUACAGAUGCUGUGGGCGGAAUAUGACAUGUAGUGGUGAAAUACAUAGAGAUGUCAUAGAACACCGAUUGCGAAGGCAGCUCACAAAACUGUAACUGACGCUGAGGCUCGAAAGUGUGGGGAUCAAACAGG
rnacentral:rRNA from 1 species